GGAUUGAAACUGAGCCUUCAAAGUGACCUGAGCUGCUGCAAUCAGAUUCUUAACCCACUGCAUCACAGUGGGAACUCCUGGAAAAUGUCUUCUUCAUCUUUGUUUAUUUCCUAACUUUGAGAUAUGCCCACAAGGAAUUUCUAUCCAUUGCGUUAGUGAAUGAAUAUAAAAUUAAUUAUAUGCACCCAGAUUGGUUAAUUUAAUGAAACCAAAUGGUAAUCUGUCUAGAAAGACCCACAGUGAGAGGAAGAAAUUUAGCUAUUGCAAAUAAGAAUAGGAUCUGUAGAUUUCCCAUAUCCAUUUUAAUAUUAUUUAGUUCCUUAAAAGCAGAAAUUGGGUUUUUGUCAUGCCUUUUUUUAGCACUUAGCCCACUUCUCACUUAACAACAGAUAUUCAAUUAGCAUUUGUUGAGUGACUGAAGAAAUGAUCGGUACUUAUUUAUUUAAAUUUUGAUUUUCUCCUCCAAAAUUAAAAAAAAAUCCAAUUUUCUUUGAAGAGUCAGUUUUAUUUCUCCUUCGAUUACCUGUUCUUUCUAUUGACUUUUUAAAAAUUUUCUUGUAAAUAAUCUGCCUCAAGCAGGUGUUAUUUCUUUUAUGCUGAACUCUUAUAAUUCAAGUAUGGCCCAGAUGUCCGUAGACCAACACACCAAAUAAAUUAAACACCUCUCACCUACUACGGAUGGCAAUGACAGAUUUUCUAUAUUUAUCUUUUAAGCCAAGAUUGUCCUUUUAAACUUUUGAUCCUAAUCUUUAUUUUUUGUGACAUUAGCCAAAGUCUUGUGGAUCUUAUUUUCUCUGUGUUACCUUCUCAGUGGUCCUUUGAUGAAGAGAAGGAAAUGUUCAAAGACUUGAUCUGGACAACAGAGAACUACACAGCUGUGCUGCUCCUUUUUUCCUCAGCCUUGACCUUACCUUGAAGAAAGCACUCCUUUAGGCUCAAACUCCUGAAAUCGACUGAAGUGUCUCUUAGGAUAUGCUUUGGUCCUAGAAAAAAACAUUUAAAUUCCAUUUCAGGUUUUUGAAACAAAGGAAAUACAUGAGAAAGAUAUUCCUUAGAUGAGGAAGAGAGAAAGGAAAUAUCUGGCAUAAAACGACUGACUGCCAACAGAGGUUACUAUUUUACCAGGCAGGAGAAGCAACAGUCUUUGAAUAAAUGCCUCUAAUAACAAUGCUAAUUAUUCAUUUAUCUAUUCGACAAACAUUAAUUAAAUAUGCCAUGUGCCAGAUGCUGGGAAAUGAAUGAGUCCCUCACCCUCAUGGGCCAAGAUGUGGCUUCAGCUCACAAAGGGGAGAAGAAAGGCCAUGUCCUUUUCAUCCAAAAGAAAUUUCAACAGCAGCAUCUCUUUACCAGAACAAGACUGCAACGAGCUGCAGGAUGGAUUGAGAAAUAAAGUCUUCUGAGAGGCCUGAAAAUCAUGUGUUCAAGAGGAGAACAGGACGCAAAUAUAAUGCACAGAAGUUCCGCAGCUGCCACAUGAGCAUGACCUUGAGGAAGAGAGCCCCACGGUAUGCAAAAGAACGAGCAAGAGAGUGAGGGAGGAAGCCUGACUGCUGCUGGCCUCCGACAGCUACUGGUCCACUCAGGACGGAACCCAGCAGGACCCCGAAGCAUCUUUCUGGGACAGACCCCUCCCUCCCGUAUACUCUGUUGUAGCUCCUCUCUGAGGUACCUAGAUGCGCAUUUCCUGAGUCCUUUGACAGAUGCUAAGGCCCGCAUCCAAAGGAAGGAAUUAACUAUUUGAUGACCACGAGCGCAUUUCCCCCAGACCUACUGGCACCUAAGGGUUAAUGCUGUUAACCUCUGUGAUCCAGCCCCCGUUACCUCACCAUCUACCAAUCAGAGAACUGUGGGCGAGCUGAUCCCGCCUCCCUCACCUGGCCUUUAAAAAUGAUUUGCUGAAAACCGCUGGGGAGUUCAGGCUUUUUGAGCACCUGUCCCAGACCCGUGUGUGCAGUGCUUUACCAUAAACACUGCUUUUCCUUCACCACAGCCCCGAUGUCAUGGAGGGUCCAGGGUGAGUGGACCCACGUUUGGUUAUGUAAUGUGGAUCCCUGUUUCAGCAUUUCAUUUUCCUACAUGAGAAAAAUAAACCCCUACUUGUUUAUUCCUACAGUCAGGGUUCUGCAUGUGCAACCAAACACAAAUUUAAAUAAUAUGUAGGUUCCAAGGAUUUCUGCAUAAAGAAAUCUUUCCUAAACUUACAUGCACCCAAGUAUUUUUUAAUUAUUUAUUUUUACUUCAUUUAAUGUAAAAUCCCAUAAAACAACGUUGCAUAGAAUACCUGUUUGGGAAAUGCAGUUUUAUUUCCUGCUAUAAAUAGCUUUAAUAACUGCCAGUCUGUUCUGCUGGUUAAACUACUAAAUUAAUGAGAUCAGGGCAUAAAACUGGUCUUCAAAUGGACAAAUUUGUUUCACCUUAUAACCCUUGCUAUCUUGGGAAAGACAUUAUGGAUUUAGCCAUGAGUCCAUUGAUUCCCAAAAUAUUUAUUGGUCAUCUAAUUGAUUCCACAUUCUCUGCCAGGUUCUGGAGAUACACGGAUGAUUUAAUCAUGUUCCCAAGUCUCAGUUAUCUUAGAGUUUAGUAAGGAUGACAAAACAAUUAAUUAUAAUGUAAUGCGUCUAACUUUCUAUUACUUCAAUUUAAGAGCAAUUCCAAAAUUCAGAACACAAUCAUAAUUUUUUUUUUAAUCAAGACUAUUGGCCUACACAGUUAGGCUCUUAGGGAGAACUAGGUUCCUUAACAAGAAAAGAUCUAAGCUAAAUAGAUUUGAUUGCCUUUAACUCUUGGACACCAAAUGACACACACUGAAUAAAAAAGAUACCAAUUCUUUGUGAACACUGUCAAUUAAAAGUCAAUGCUACUGAUAAAAGUGGACGGAUCUGAUAUGGAAAGAAGAAAGAGGUAAUUAUAAUUAAAGGGGAGGAAGGUUCAGGUUAAAAGGACAGAUACUUUUAGUAGAAAUAAAGGACUUGAGCAUGUUUUUAGACUUCAGGAGAGUUGUUAGUGGGAGGGCAGAAGACAAAUGUGCCAAAAAGAAGAGUUAGUUGAUGGACCAAAUUCUCAGAGGAGAUAGGAGGAGUUGGAAUAAAAAACACUGAAUUAACCUGAACAGAAAUAAAAUCUUAUCCUCUGAUUUAAAGGGAGGGGAAUAAGAUGAGAGUGGAUGUAGGAGGCACUGAGAUGAGUUGUGUCAUAAACAUAUACAUUGAAGUCUUUGCCCCACUACCUAAGAAUGUGACCUUAUUUAGAAAUAGAACCAUAGUGGACAUUAUGAGUUAGGAUGAGAUCAUUCUGGAGUAGAGUGGGUCCUUAAUCCAAUAUAACUGGGGUUCUCAUAAAAGGAGGGAAAUUUGGAGACAGAUGCCCAGAAGGAAGAAGACGUGAGGACACUUGAGAAAUGACAAUCCCGUGGCAACCGAAACAGAGACUGGAGUUGAUCCUUCUCCAAGCCACAGAAUGCCACGAUUGCUGAGAAUUCCCAGAAGCUCAGAAGGAACAAAGAGGAAUGCUCUUCUACAGAUUUCAGAGGGAGCAUGGCCCUGCUCGUGUCUUCCUUUCAGACUUCUAGUCUCCAGGACUGAGGCAGUAAAUUUUUGUUGUCAUAAACCACCACGUUUAUGAUACUUUGUUAUGGCAGCCUUAGGAACUCAUGGAGGAUGUUGCAGGAAAAAAAAAAAAACACACUUGUAGCCUUAUCUUGUUGAUGAAGAAGGGGUUCAGGGAGUAACAGGAAGGUUUAGAAGGCGGCGUUGAGCUGUAGUGAAGUCCUAAACUAAUACCUGAAGGGAAUGGAAGUGGAAGCCAAGCAUGACGAUAUAAAAAUGAGUAAUGAGAAACUGGCUGAAGUCAGUGACUAUGAAUUUAUGGUAACACUAAUAUGAUAAAAAUCCCAGACACAAAUAUGACUUUAGUACAUGAUAAAGGUGGUAUUUCAAGUCAAUGAAUAAAUGAUGGAUCCAAUACAGUAGAUUUGACAAUUUGGAGGAAAUAAAUAAGGUUGAAUGUCUACAGUCAGCAUUGCCUGUCCCCUUCAAUCUAAAAGUGAUCUUUAAAAGUUAUUUAAAAAUAACAGUGGAAAAAGAAAAAUUUAGAAGACAAUUUAAAUUUUACAUAGUCAGCAAUAGCAUUUAAGUGAUAGUUGGUGAGCAAACUUUCUGUAGUGAGCGUAUAUUAUUUUUUAACUGAAAAAAUAUCAAUACAUAUUAUCUUCAACUCUUAUUAUGGUUUUCUUAUAAAACAUAUAUACAUAUGCGAUGUGUAUAUCUCUAAAGAAAAUAAAUGGUAAAAUUCUAUUCAAAAAAUGGUAGAACUAUAAUACGUUGUUAUUGACAAUUAUCUCUAAAUGAUGGACUUGCAAGCUUUCGAUAUGAUUUUAUUAUUUUCCAAAUUACACAACCAACACAUGGCUUUAAUCAUUUAUAACUUUAUUUAGAAAACAAAGUGUUACAACAAUUUGAUUCCAGAAUUUUAGAGUCUUAUACACAGAGUUGUAUACACAUGUGUAUACGUGAGACCUAGUAGCUUCCUUGGAAAAUGGUGGCUCCCGCUUCUUCUGCACAACAUGGAACACUUGAGAAAAGUUAAGGAGAAAAACAACCUGCCUAAAAAGAAUAUAUGCAUAUUUGUAUAUCUCCAUAUACAUACCCCUCUGCAUAUGUAUUCAAAUGCAACACCUGUAAGAAUAUUUCUAAAAAUCUCCACAUCUCUGUCACUUGCUCAACCCCAGAUUCAAUGAAAAUGGAAGUUCUGCUGAAAAUAAAAUGUUCUGAAGAAGAAGAAGCAGGUUAGUUUAAGAACAAUUAGGCUCAAAAUAAGUUUGAGUAUUAUCUUCCUGGUGGGCUCAGUUGUGUAAUAUCAUCCAGAAAAAGCACAAGUUUGUAGAAUAUUCUCAGAGAUGAGUUUUUGAGAUGUUUUAUUUUAGUGCUUUCAUUUUCUAUAAUGAAAUGAGAUAAUAAAUUCCUAUUUGUGUCUGAGUAUCCCCAAAAUAGCUUGUAAGAAUAGAAAAAUCUGACAGUUGCUGAGGAAAAAAGGAAAAAAAAAAACUUGAAAAUAGCUGAAUCUGUCCAAUCUUGUAUUUAUCCAUUCAGGCUAAAAAUGGUGUUAUUGUUGAAAAGAAGUUAAGAAAUUUUCUUUAGGAAAAAAAAAAAAAAAAACUUUUUCUGUGGAGAAAAAUGGCAUUUGUUGGUCCCUACAUACAAAGGUGCGAAAUUAAUUUAAUUCUCUUUUAUUAGUAACUAAGUAAAAACAUGAUGGUGGAUCAUCAUUUCAUUCUGCAAAUACUUAGAAGUCCCAGCCUGGGCUGGAUCCAAGGCUCUGCAGUGAUGGAAACCAGCUCCAGCAGGAAUAAAAUGGAGUUUCUGCCCCCAAAGAACUUCAUAAUCUUCAUAAAUUAAAACCAUGAUGAGGGGCACAGAUAGGCAGUUCACAAAAGAAGAAAAACUAAUUGUCUCGAAAUAUAUACAAAAUAUUCAUCGUCACUAGUAAGCAAGAAAUGCAACUUUAAAAUCACAAUGAAAUAUGGUUUUUCAUCGAGCAACUUAGAAUGAAUGUCUAGGAAUGAGACACAAGAUUGGUACAUAAAAAUAGGACUUCUAAUUAAUUAUUAGCGGAACCUAAACUAGAAAUUCUUUCUGGAAUAUUAUCUGGCAGCGUGUAUCAAAAGAAAUAAAAGUAUUCGCAUUCUAUGACACAAAUCUACCUCCAGGAGUUUCAACUGAGAAGAUAGACCAUUGAAGUUCUCCUGAAGGGAGCAGUAGAAUGUCCAUCACAUGAUUUUUAGUAGUUUUUUAGGAGCUAAAAAAUUAUAUAUUAAUCAAUGUACCAUGAAAUGGAACAUUUAUCAAAAAUAUGGCACAUUCUUAUAAUACUAUGUUGCUUUUAAAACUUAAGUAGUGAAAUAAUAGUGAAUAAUAUCAAGAAUUUUAUGAUACAAUUAGUGAAAAGACCCACAAAAAUUGUGUUCAGUAGGAUGCCAUUAUAAAUAAUUCAUGUGCAUAAAUUAUAAAAAAGAUAUAAACCCAAGUGGUAAGAUAUAAACCAAAAGUUUGCACUUGUUAUAGUAGAAAAUGAGAUUAUAAUUUUUUUUUUUUUUAAAUGUUAGGGCUGCUCCCUCAGUAUAUGGAAGUUCC